UCCAGGUAAUGGCAUUGAAGAAUACUCAUAAAACUGUCACGACUGUAGUAAUAACUAUUAUUAUGAUCAAAUUUAAUAAAAAAAAAACCCUGCCUGCAAUAUGGGAACUAUGAAUAAUUCAUGGAAAAUGUUGCUUAAAAUAUGAUAGAAAGGAAAAGACUUGUAGAAAAAUUCUUAAUGUAACCAGACAGCGAUGAUAAUUGGUUUUUGCAACUAAAUGAAUACUUCAUGUACAAGCCAGCACUAACAAGGCAAGAGGAGAAGUCUGCACAUUGGGGAAACAAUUUCACUCAUCUGGUUACAACAGGGUUUGGAUCGAUGAUGGAAAGAAACACAUGACGGAACAAAUAAAGGCAAGCCCCAAUCUGACGGUUGCAAGGCAGUGAAGAACUUGAAUUGGGACACAUCAUAGUUUGUAGGUGCAUUUUAAAGGGGAAGAGAGAAGACAAGAAGUUCUGGAUGAAAAUCCACGUGAAUUAUUAAGGAAGCAGCAGACAAUCAAGCUACUAUCUCCAACUAGCAUGUUCCCAUGAACA
rnacentral:lncRNA from 1 species